GCACAAGCGGUGGAGCAUGUGGAUUAAUUCGAUGCAACGCGAAGAACCCUACCUGGGCUUGACAUGCACUAGAAACCUGUAGAGAUACAGGCCCCCUUGUGGUUGGUGUACAGGUGGUGCAUGGCUGUCGUCAGCUCGUGUCGUGAGAUGUUGGGUUAAGUCCCGCAACGAGCGCAACCCUCGUUCCAUGUUGCCAGCACGUGAUGGUGGGGACUCAUGGGAGACUGCCGGGGUCAACUCGGAGGAAGGUGGGGAUGACGUCAAGUCAUCAUGCCCCUUAUGUCCAGGGCUUCACACAUGCUACAAUGGCCGGUACAGAGGGUUGCGAGACCGCAAGGUGGAGCGAAUCCCAAAAAGCCAGUCUCAGUUCGGAUUGGGGUCUGCAACUCGACCCCAUGAAGUCGGAGUCGCUAGUAAUCGCAGAUCAGCAACGCUGCGGUGAAUACGUUCCCGGGC
rnacentral:rRNA from 1 species